AGCAGCCGCGGUAAUUCCAGCUCCAAUAGCGUAUAUUAAAGUUGUUGCAGUUAAAAAGCUCGUAGUUGAAUUUCGGGGUUAGUAGGUUGGUCAUGCCUCUGGUAUGUACUGGUCUCACUGAUUCCUCCUUCCUGAUGAACCUUAAUGCCAUUUAUUUGGUGUUUUGGGGAAUUUGGACUGUUACUUUGAAAAAAUUAGAGUGUUUAAAGCAGGCUAACGCCUGAAUACAUUAGCAUGGAAUAAUGAAAUAGGACGUUCGAUCCUAUUUUGUUGGUUUCUAGGAUUGACGUAAUGAUUAAUAGGGAUAGUUGGGGGCAUUAGUAUUCAAUUGUCAGAGGUGAAAUUCUUGGAUUUAUUGAAGACUAACUACUGCGAAAGCAUUUGCCAAGGAUGUUUUCAUUAAUCAAGAACGAAAGUUAGGGGAUCGAAGACGAUCAGAUACCGUCGUAG
rnacentral:rRNA from 1 species